rnacentral:piRNA from 1 species
UACAAAAUUGGAGUGAGCAUCAUGUGUCUC